UCUGCCAACACUACGGAUAAACAUAAACAGAAAAACAGAAGGAAACAGGAGUAAAUCCGUCCUUCACUGCUUCAUUUAUAUUAAUUCAUGUGGUAUCUUUUUGAUUAAAUUAAAUUUAUUUCAUAGCAUUCUUCGAUACGGGAGGGAUACGAUAGAUACUGCAUAAAACUCAAACGGAUCGGACCAUAUCGUACGUUAAAGUACCGGUACAAAAUACCGAGUAUCGGAAGAAAAAAUACUGGUACUCGAGAAAAUCGUAUCGUAUCGCACAUCCUUACACCACGCGACGUGCGCGCCGGUAAACAAUAACAACCUAACGUAAAAUAGUUUAUAAACAAACGUUUUAUUAGUGUGUUGACUAAUGGUGAGGUUUAUUACUGCAAUAAUUCUAUUUUAUAGUGGAUUUUGGGAGUUUCUGGUGGUUAGUAAUUGAUUAAAGGAUCCACAAGGUUAGCUUGUUAAAAUGGAAGUAGUUGUAAGAUGGCAAACGGAAAAUGUCGUUUUAAUUAGCCAAAUAGAGUGUGUCAAUAAAUCAGAUACGGUAGUGAAAAUGGGUACUGAAAUAAAAAUGUAUUGGAAGCCGCAUAAGAAAUGGUAUUUCGGAACAGUGAUUGCGAUCGAAAAUAGCUUCACUAGUAGUGAUAGCGACUCUGAUGAUAUUCCAUUAAAUUUGUUGUCUAAAAACUCAUUAGGCGAUAGCGAAGAAGAUCUUCCGCUUCAGAAGUUAAGAGAGAAGCUUACUGGUGCAAAUAGCAUUCCACUCAAGAUUGCAGCUAGUGUUGAAGUGGAAAAACCGAGGGAAAAACCUAAAGAAAAUACAAUACCUCUCAGUAAUGAGAAAGUUUUUGGUAUUAGCAAUGAACUGUUCUCCGACUCCGAACCGUGCGAAUUUCAAGAUAAUUCGGAUAAAGAUCCGAUAUACAUUCGGCACUGUGAAGUUCCACAUUGCAGAGAAACAGAUGAGGUAUUUGCUGCGUGUCCAAAUUGCCUGCGCUUAUUGUGUUGGACUCAUUUCUCCGAGGAUGGUACGUGUCAGCGCAUGCAUGAGCUUCCUGUAGUCAGCUUAAUAGAAGAGAUUUCAGAAGUACCAGAGGACUUCACAGUUGAUGGAAAUUCUAAGGUAAUCUGUCUCAUAGAUUUGACUGAACACAAGAAGGAAAAUUAAAAAAAAGUUGCUUUCCAUCUUAGAAAUCUAGGUGUAGCAUAUUUUAGUUAUAAUAGUAAAAAGCAAAUACCUGCCAGGAAGGUUCUUCGACCCAGGUGUAGUGGUUCUUUUUGUAAUAAAGUAGGGAAAAAAUGUUUAAUAGUAACAGAUGAAGAACGUCACAACAUUCUAAAUGACUUUUAUGGGACUGGAAAUUUACAACUUCAGAGGGAAUUUGUAGCUCGGUUUGUAAAGCGUAGAGAUACCAAACAGAAAACAACAGAAAAAGGCCAUGUUUCUAGACGGGAAAAAAGUAACUAUUACUUUUUGCCGGGGAAUGACUCAAUACCAAUACCUGUGUGCAAAACAAUGUUUCUUAAUACUAUAGGCAUUACUGAUAAAUUUGUAUGUAAUACCUUAGCCAAAUUACAAGAAACUGGUAUUAUUGACAAAGACAAACGUGGAGGUAGAUGUUCAAAUUUAAAAAAAACAUGAUAAAUAUAUUCGACAGCUUAUAUUAGAACAUAUUAAAAGAUUUCCUCGGAUGGAAUCGCACUAUUGCCGAAAAAACUCCAAGCGUGAAUAUCUUCACCCUGAUCUUACAAUUAAAAAAAUUUAUUAAAAAGAGUAUACCAGCAGCAUGUAGCCGAAAAAGAGUGUGUUCGGAGUAAGAAGCAGCAAGAAAAAAACGAUCCAGACAUUUCCAAAGUAUGUGCUGUAUUCGAUCUCCAACAAGUAAUUUUUUUACCUAUUACCAACGAGAACAAGUUAUUUUAUAAACGUAGAUUAGCGAACUAUAACUUCACUAUAUUUACAAUAUUAAAUCUAAGGAGUGUCAUUGUUUUUUAUGGCAUAAGGGUUUGAGUAAGCGGGGUUCUAGUGAAAUUUCUACUUGCUUGUAUAUCUACCUUAACGAACUUGACCAAAAAGGCACAAAAAAUGUUUCUUUGUUUUCUGAUGGCUGUAGCAGCCAGAACAAAAAUUCCAUUGUAGCAUCUAUGUUAUUACAUAUGGUGAGCUCAUCAGAAAACAUAGAAACCAUUUCACUGCGAUUUUUUGAGCCAUAUCAUGGUCAAAGUGAGGGUGAUUCUGCACAUAGUGCGAUUGAUAACGCAAUUAAAAAAAAUCUGGUGAUUUAUUUGUACCCUCACAGCUAAAACCGAUAUUAAGAUUAGCAAGGCGCCAAAAUCUUUAUAUUGUGCAUUCUCUUACAUCCAAUGAUUUUCUAAAUUUUAAAGAGCUGUCAAAAAAUUUGAACAUUCUUUCAGUAAGAAAAGACGAUGACGGAAAUCCUAUCGACUGGAAAAUUAUUCGCGAAAUAAUGUUGAAAAAAGAAACCAUUGACAAAAUUUAUUUUAAAAGCAGUCACCUACAAAUUGAUUAUCAAUGUGUCACACUAAAACGCACUGCUAUGCAAGCUAAAUUUGCUCCACCCCGCUUAAAUUAUCCCUCUGGGCCCAAAAUUUCCUCUGAAAAGUUUAACGAACUUAAUGAGCUUGUGAUAAAACUUCCCGAGCAUGUAAGGUUUUACAAGGAAUUACCACACUAACAAACAUUUAUUAUUAAAAGUUUAAGUCAAUACUAACUUGUAAGAUUUGUUGUUGUGUUUUUUUUUUAUUUUAGAAUUCUGUUUUUCAGUUUAGAUCUAUGAUCUGUAUAGACUCAAAGAAAAAAAAAUUGUCAUUUAUUAAUAAAACAAACUUGAUGUUAAUGAGAAAA